GAAUACCAGUUGGAAGAUACAAGUCAGUCGAGAGACGGAGUGUGAUGUGGACGAAGGCGUCUUUGCGUUUCUCUUCGCUGAUCGCGAUUUGCGUGGUGGUCCAGAGCAUUUCGCAGGCAAACGGAGCUGCUCCACAACGCUGUCCACCUGGCAGAUAUUAUGAUACCCAACUUAGAAGAUGUUUAAUAGGAACAGGCGUCUCCACAAAUUCUGAAAAAGAGGAAAAAUCGACAACGUCACAGCCUGAAAAUUUGGGAUCCAUACCUCUUCAGGUCGCAAUUGCUCCUACUCGAAUUGAUCCUAUUCGAACAUGUCCAUCUGGAGAAGUUUGGUCAGAUAGAAGAAGAAAAUGCAUUCCGUCCAUCUCGCGAAAUAAAUAGCACAGACUGCAUUUUUAUUAUAAUGUGAAAACAUCGUAAAAUAUUCCAACUAUGUAAAAAAAACAGGCGCAUAUUAAGCUAAAAGACGUGGAGCUGACAAUAUUCGUUUUCGUCUGAAGAAAAAUACAAAGCUCUGUAGUAAUUUCAACAAUAAACAUUCAUCAUUAAAAUUCAAUACAAAUUUUACCUUUUUGUAAUCAAACACAAAUUAACUUCAAUAUUUUUUACCAAAUUUUUUAGAGGUUUUUAUUUUCUAUUUUGGAAGUAAAUAUAUAGUGAAGAAAAUAAGACACACAAAAGGCGCGACUGAGUCUGCGACUCCUCGUUAAACCGGUUUCUUAGUAUGCAGGUAGGGAUAAUUCUUUUCAUUUAGCCUUUGGUUGGUUCACCAUUCUUCAAUCAACACCUGCACAUAAAAGAGGUUAUGUGCUUCGUUGAACUUCGGAAUGUUUACAGGGAAAGAUUUAGUUGAAUAAUUAGCACUUUUUUGCUCACUCCCGGAUUCAGGUCACUAGGGUCAGGCGGUGCCAUCUGAAGAGAGAGGCUCUUAUUUGUGACUGACUGCGAGGCGCAGUUGGCUGGAAACAUGGCUCGAGUUUUGUGCUUGUUUUUCACAUUAAUUUUGUGCCUCUUUUUUCUCCUGGACACGGCCGAAUCGAGGCAAAUCGCGAGGAAGGUGUCGCGAAACAGAAGGGACGCUGACGAAGAAUGUCCCAUGGGUUUUAUUUUCAAUACUGCUGGAAACUGCAUUCCAUUCAUUAAUGAUGAUGAGGAUGUCUCUGCUAAUCCUGUUGGACUAAGUAUUACAAAUGUACCUGAUAGGUUGAAGUGCAGAGAGGGAUAUGUCUACAUAAAACGUCGCCAACGUUGUGUUAGAUCUUCAAAAAUAAUCAAAAGUUGAUGAUUAAAUUUAUAAUAUUGCUUCCUAUUUAACGGUAUUUAAAACCCAAUUUGCUUUCACCUCCCUCCCUUACUAGUUUUAAUUAUAUAAUUAAGAAAAAUGGAAUGAAUUUCUACCGUGUGAUUAAAUUCCAAUCUAAGCUCUUAUAUGUGAUCCCAAAUAGAAUAAAAUAUAUAAUAUAAAGUAUGUAAAAGUUUUUUUUCUCAAUCACAAUUAUUUGACAAAAAUCGCUUCCGCAAACUGAGCAAUAAAGACUGAACCGCAGAGUUUAUUACUCUUUAUUGUCUGCAAAUUAAUUAAGCAAUUUAGUGGUGAGAACUUUGACGCAAGAUGAAUUAAAAUUUUCAACUAUGAACCUGCUGCACUUGACAAUGAAAGCAACUGACGCACUAAGGGCCCGUCUUGGCAAUUAAAAGCACCAAGUAUGCGUGACUUCUACUGCUUAAAAGGCCUGGACGGAUUUUACACUUAACCACUCAAAAUGAGACUCACCCAGGAGAGAAACGUCGUGACUUUAGCCGUCUUUUUUCUCGCCGGGCACCUGAAGGCACAAAUUCCAGACAGCGAUCCGAGACACUUGGAUUGCCCCCCGGGAUCACACUUUGCAAAUGGGAGGUGCAAGGUGUCUGUCAGAAUUCGGUUUGGGCCGGCGCACACCGGUGUCAACAGACCUGAACCGGUACCGUCUCCAACCUCUGUUUUGCCAUUUGUAACGUCUCCGAAGCCUCCAGCGAUCGUUUCUAUUACCACAAAACAACCUGCAACUUUCCAAGAAGACCCGUGCCCCUUGGGGUACAAACUAACGGCAGGAAAAUGCAGACCAAGUUAUUUACACAACAAAUGGCAUCCGUAUUCACAUUUGCCUUUCUAUCAACCAAUUAACUUUGGGAAUUUCCACUCACCAUUAUAUCCUCUCUUUCAUCACCCAGCUAAUAGCUGUUGGCAAAGUAGCCCAUUGGCCUAUAAUAAUAAAUAUUGGGGAUAUCCAUAUUACGGAGGUGGCUACCCUCACAGCGCACUUUAUGGUUUGCAGCCGUGGCUAAACAAAUUUUGUCCACCUGGAUAUCAUGUAUUGCAUGGAAGGUGCGAACCACCACAACGCGUCUCAAUUUCGAUGAACCCAAGCUAAAAACAAAGGAUCAAAAUUUUGCUGGAAAAGUCUGAAUGAACUUUAAAUUUAGAACCGAAUAAUUAGUUCCUUUAUUAUAUACAAUUAUGUAUGUAUCAUUUCAGAAAUAGACAAAAUCCAUAAUUUAAUCUUAACCAGCAGCA